CCCUGCCAUUUGUACACACCGCCCGUCGCACCUACCGAUUGAAUGGUCCGGUGAAACCUCCGGAUUCUCCGUGCGUCUCUCCGACAAACGCGAGAAGAAGCUGGUUAAACCUUACCAUUUAGAGGAAGGUGAAGUCGUAACAAGGUUUCC
rnacentral:rRNA from 1 species